UGCUAAUCUGCUGCUAGUUGCUCUCCUCCCUGUUACUCACUCUCUCCUAUAUAAACCUCGCAUCACUUUAAUUCUCCCACCUAACUCCCCCUCACUCCCAGUAUAAGAAUAUCAUAGUAGCUACUUAAAUCCUCUUUAAGUAUAAACUUUCUUCUGAUAAUGGUUUCCACAAAUGGGAUCUCUACUACCUCUAUCCUUCUUUUUUCCUCUGAACAGGUACAAUCAUUUUCAUCUUCUUUGGUGAGAUCUUUAUACUUGUGAUAUUUUUCUUAUUUGUUGGGAUCAUUAACACUUUUUUGGUCUAUUGAAGUGUGGGGUUGAAAGGAACAAGGGUAAAUCUGUUGCAGGGCAAGAAAUUCAACAAUCAGGCUUCAAAUAGCCGAUUAAUUAGUAGCAAGGGCGAAUCGUAAUGAUAUUGCAUUUGAC
rnacentral:lncRNA from 1 species